UUUUACUUUUGUUUUUCUUUCCCUCUAAAAGUAUGAUCAUCUCCGUGAUCGUCUGCUCAAUGCCUUCAAGCCUGGACUAGUGACAGUGACAGGCGAAGGAGACCCUCAAUACAUGGGUUGGUUUGAAGUGUUUUUGAAUGACGAACUUAUCCAUUCCAAAAAGAACGGCGAGGGCUUUGUUGACAGUCCAGAGAAAUUGCAGAAAAUAAUCCGCACCAUUAACAAGGUCAUGAAUUAGUUUCAAUACAAAUGGCUGUCUCGGUUUGUCGAGCAGUCAGUCAGUUGAACAAUACAGAGGACGACGCUUAAUGAUGACUGGCUUUGAUUAAAAAAAUGGAAAGGUCAAGGUCAUGAUAGACUAAAGGCGUUUUAUUUUCUAAGAUCGACUGAUUGAGGAAUGAUUGCUGAUUGCUAUUAAUACUUAAAAAAAUAUAUAUAUGUAAUUAUGUAACAAUACACUGCAUGUACAAUGAA
rnacentral:sRNA from 1 species